CCCAUCUGGAGUAUUGCGUCCAGGCCUGGGGCCCCCAGUACAAGAAAGAUGCAGAGCUCUUGGAGCGGGUCCUGAGGAGGGCUACUAAGAUGAUCAGAGGGCUGGAGCACCUCUCCUAUGAAGAAAGGUUGAGUGAACUGGGCUUGUUUAGCUUGAAGAAGAGAAGGAUCUGGGGAGACCUCAUUGUGGCUUCCAACACUUGAAGAUGACUCACACUACAGAAAAUGAGCUGUGUGAUUUGCACUUCUGGUUUGCCAGCUGGGACCCAGCCCAGAUCAUUUGUCUGCAUCAGGUGCUAUCAGCAGGUGUGUGCAGAAGCAGAGCGAGGAAGAGUAAAAUUUCCUGAAAAAUCUGAUGAACACCUGGAGGACUCGCUAAGAAUUGCAGCCAAUUCCAUUGAACCAGACCAACGCAUUAGUUUCACAAAAACAAGCCCAGGACAAUUCCUCUUCACUCAAAGCAGCCCAGACAAGCCUAAAUGUUGGACACACGUGUUAUUGAAUUUCUGCUUGCUUCUAUUGCAACUGGCAAGAGUAUCUCCUAUUCAAAUCCAGAUGGUGCUUGGAGAAUUUUCUGCUACUGAAAACAGACUUCUCUUCCUCUUGGCUGCCGUACAUCCUUGCACCACACCUGGGAGUGACGUUGAUCACAUUCCCGUCUCCUGGCUGUGGAUCUGAAUGUUCCACCGUGUUAUCAUAAUGUGGACACUCAACUCAAGUCCCUGAGGUGAUAUUCUCCCCUUUCUCUUGGACAUAAGCAACAUGCCGUCAUUGAACUCUAGCAUCCUUUCUGUGUUUCACCCUUUCCCAAUCUGUCAAAAGUGGUCUCUGCGGUCUUAUGGAGAAAAGAGGAAGAAAAAAAUGGAAACUGCUCGGGAAAGUACUUUUGACCCAUUAUAACAUGUUCUUGGGAAGCUGAGGAGAGAUCAACUGAGCCAUGAUUCUCAUAGCAGGUGCUGCAGAGCAUUACUCAGAACUAGACAUGUGGAGUGGAGGCUUUACAAGUGACAAGCAGUGCAUGCGGACGACUCCAUCUCACUGGCUGUCCUCCUGACCGCACAUCCCAACACGAGUGCAAUCUCUACCCAAGUGGAUACAGCGCCAGUAUAAACUGUGAUGAUGCUUCUUGAUUACAUCAAAUUCUUCAGGAAGAGGAAGCACCAGGGAGAGCCUUAGUGCUGGCUCCUGCAUUCCUGGCCAGAGGCUCAGAUUCUAUCUGGAAAGUGGAGACUUUUAUGCACCUGCCCUAUUAUAAUCUGACUGUUUGUUCUCUUGUUAAUUUAAAUCAAAACAUUUAUGUUAACCAGGUAAUUAGGGGCCUUCAGUGUUAUGUCUUAUCAUUUCAAAUUGCUUUGUAAUCCCACUGUUAGCAAAGAGGGAAGAUUUGUGAAAGUUAAUAUUCUCUUUAAAUGAUUUUGCCUAUACACACGUAUAAGAGUCACCAAGGUAAAAAACUGAAUGCUAUGGUGCAAAGCAUGAGAAGGUGGCAUGAAGUUGUAUGAAGCUGUGCCUCUCUGCUAGGAGCUUCUGAGUACAAGAUGACUGAGUCUUCCACAUUCACUGUCUCCAAUUUUCAUAUCCAAUGUGCAGAGUUUCCAAGUAAAACAUGUACAUACUUUUCAGCUUUCAAUUCUGGAAAUUCGUGCUAAGAGCUGAGAGAUAAAUGAGAUUAUUCCUGGAAUGUUCAGUAACGUAAGUAUUGUACAGUAGCUAGAUACAUGAAAUAUCUUUUCUUUCUAGUAAUUAUGCCUACAGCUUUCCCAGAGAAGCCUAAAGCUCAGUCAGACUUGAUACAGACUGUGCUUUAGCUGACUUGUCACACAGCUCCACUGCAGACAUGUCCUG
rnacentral:lncRNA from 1 species